rnacentral:rRNA from 1 species
AUACGGAGGGUGCAAGCGUUAUCCGGAUUCAUUGGGUUUAAAGGGUUCGCAGGCGGCGUAUUAAGUCAGUGGUGAAAUCCCGAGGCUCAACCUCGGAACUGCCAUUGAUACUGGUAUGCUAGAGUAUAGUUGGCGUUGGCGGAAUGUAUCAUGUAGCGGUGAAAUGCUUAGAUAUGAUACAGAACACCGAUCGCGAAGGCAGCUAACGAAACUAUAGCUGACGCUCAGGAACGAAAGCGUGGGGAGCGAACAGGAUUAGAAACCCCAGUAGUCC